rnacentral:rRNA from 1 species
GCCAACCUUGAAAUACCACCCUUUAAUGUUUGAUGUUCUAACGUUGGCCCCUGACCGGGGUUGCGGACAGUGUCUGGUGGGUAGUUUGACUGGGGCGGUCUCCUCCCAAAGCGUAACGGAGGAGCACGAAGGUUAGCUAAUCCUGGUCGGACAUCAGGAGGUUAGUGCAAUGGCAUAAGCUAGCUUGACUGCGAGCGUGACGGCGCGAGCAGGUGCGAAAGCAGGUCAUAGUGAUCCGGUGGUUCUGAAUGGAAGGGCCAUCGCUCAACGGAUAAAAGGUACUCCGGGGAUAACAGGCUGAUACCGCCCAAGAGUUCAUAUCGACGGCGGUGUUUGGCACCUCGAU